GACGAACGCUGGCGGCGUGCUUAACACAUGCAAGUCGAACGAUGAAGGAGAGCUUGCUCUCCGGAUUAGUGGCGAACGGGUGAGUAACACGUGACUAACCUGCCCCUUUCUCUGGGAUAACGCUCCGAAAGGAGUGCUAAUACCGGAUACGAACUCUGAACACAUGUUCGGAGUUGGAAAGUUUUUCGGAAAGGGAUGGAGUCGCGGCCUAUCAGCUUGUUGGUGAGGUAACGGCUCACCAAGGCGACGACGGGUAGCCGGCCUGAGAGGGCGACCGGCCACACUGGGACUGAGACACGGCCCAGACUCCUACGGGAGGCAGCAGUGGGGAAUAUUGCACAAUGGGCGAAAGCCUGAUGCAGCGACGCCGCGUGAGGGAUGAAGGUCUUCGGAUCGUAAACCUCUUUCAGUAGGGACGAAGCGAAAGUGACGGUACCUAAAGAAGAAGCACCGGCCAACUACGUGCCAGCCGCCGCGGUAA
rnacentral:rRNA from 1 species